GGUGUGUUCAGUUGUACUGACUUUGAUAAGGGAGAUUUCCUAUUGGAGUACAGAGGGGAUCUCAUAAGCAGAGAAGAAUGUGAGCGGAGGCAAAGAAUAUAUCAUGAUGCCCUCAAAGUGUUUAUGUAUGAAUUUAGAUUCAAUGGCAAAUUCCUUUGUGUUGAUGCAGCCCUGGAUGAUGGCUCCCUUGGGAGACUUGUGAAUGAUGACCAUAUAAAACCAAACUGCAGAAUGAAGACCAUCCGUGUGGAUGGUAAACCUCAUCUUUGUUUAUUUGCCAUAAGAAGCAUCUGUCCUGGUGAAGAGAUCGCAUACAAUUACGGCGAUUCUGAGUGGCCAUGGCGAUGCAAGAUGACAUCGUCUAAGAAUUCACCACCUCCAGAACAAGAAGAUACAGCAGAUAGAAAGGCAUCCAAAAAGGUGAUGUAGAAAAGAGUAAA